GUGGAUAUACCGUUUAAGGUAUAUAUUUAUUAUACUUAUAAUGUUGAUAAAAUCUAUGUGUAGAAUACUUUCUCUUAAAUCGUGCUGUCAAAAUACACUUUUUUCAUCAUGGUCGUACAAAUGCCUUCGAUUAUUAUUUAUAGAACCUUGAAGAUUGAUAGCGGGGGUUUUGUUUUUUUUUUUUUUUUAAUAACAUCACCGUGGACGCUUUUAGAUCGUAAAUUUUCGCGUGUAGUUGCGAAAAAACUAUCAUGGUCCGGUGAGAGAAAAAAAAUAACGAAAUAAAUAUUUUGUUCGUGCUCUUGAUAUGUUUACGAGAAGUCCGAGAUAUGGAAUACUCGUGUAUAAAUAUUAUAUUAUUUAUGUAAACAAAACGGCGAUCCG